rnacentral:tRNA from 1 species
GCCAGAGUGGUUUAGUAGUUUGAGCAUUAGACUAUGACUCUAGAAACCAGGGUUCAAAUCCCUGCCCAGCCA